rnacentral:rRNA from 1 species
GAAGAAAGAGGGAGGCGUGCUUAACACAUGCAAGUCGAACGGAAAGGCUCCAGCUUGCUGGAGUACUCGAGUGGCGAACGGGUGAGUAACACGUGGGUAAUCUGCCCUGCACUCUGGGAUAAGCCUGGGAAACUGGGUCUAAUACUGGAUAUGACCUUUCUCCUUAUGGGGUUUGGUGGAAAGUUUUUCGGUGUAGGAUGAGCCCGCGGCCUAUCAGCUUGUUGGUGGGGUGAUGGCCUACCAAGGCGACGACGGGUAGCCGGCCUGAGAGGGUGAUCGGCCACAUUGGGACUGAGAUACGGCCCAGACUCCUACGGGAGGCAGCAGUGGGGAAUAUUGCACAAUGGGCGGAAGCCUGAUGCAGCGACGCCGCGUGAGGGAUGACGGCCUUCGGGUUGUAAACCUCUUUCAGCAGGGACGAAGCGUAAGUGACGGUACCUGCAGAAGAAGCACCGGCUAACUACGUG